rnacentral:misc_RNA from 1 species
AGGAUGGGCAAGACUAUAAAACUGAAGCUGCAUGUUCUGGCACAACUGUGGUGUCAGAAAUUGACAAAGAUUCUUUUCCUUGUCUAGUGAAGAUAUAUGAUUCUCCUGAGUCAGAGUUGAAGCUAAAUGAUGUUUUUGAAUUUGUUGGGGUUCUUACUUUUGAUUCAGAGAUUCCAGCAGAGAAGGGUGAUCACGAUGAGUUCUGUAAUGAUUAUUGUGAUGAUGAUUUGGUACAUUUGCCAUCCAGCAAGGUCCCACGGCUACAUUGUAUUAUUCAUCGGAAGCUUGCAGCUCACGAUUUUCUGCACACUUCCCCCAUAAUUGAGCAGAAGCCCCAUUGGGUCAAAGAUGUGAGGGAAUCUCUGUUGAAGCAUCUUACAGAUGUUCUUGGAAAUGAUGGGGUAGCAGCACAUUACAUGUUGCUGCAUCUCCUGUCCAGGGUACAUUCCAGGGUAGACAAUGUUGCAGUGGGGAAGCUUUCAUUAAACAUUACUUGUUUGAGCAAAGAGAGUGUUUCUGUAUUUGGCACCCAGCUUAGUCUUGCUAUCAAGAACCUUCUACCAUUUUCAACAUGCAUACCCCUAACUGUGGAAUAUCUUAGCAGAAGUUCUCUUGCCCCCAAAAAAGAUUAUCAGACAAACAGACUGAUACCUGGAGUCCUGCAGCUUGCUGAGGGCUCACACUUGAUCAUUGAUGAGACCCAAUUGGAGACAGGAACCCUCAACUCUGUUGGUGUUGACAAUGCAAGGUUGCUAAGAAAUUUAAUAGAGUUCCAAAAGGUUGAGUAUGAUUUUACAUACUAUAAGAUGGAGAUGACAGCUGAUGUUCAAUUGCUAAUAUUGUCUGAGGGGAAAUCAAACAUCUUGCCAGCUGAUAUAAUCAUGCCCUUCCAGCCUUCUUCAGUUGGUUCCUCAGAACAAAAGCCCUGGAGGCUUGGAGAUGGUACUUGGCUACUGUCAGAUCAUUGCCACAUUCUAUUGAGUCUGAAAUGCAGAAGGUUGUAGAAGAUGACCUGGUUGCUGCAAGGCAGACAGAUCGAAGUAUAGGCAGCCAAGAUUUUAGCAGAUGGUUGACAAUGGGCCGACUAAUUUCUUCAAGUUUUGGCGAGACAUCACUAUCAUUGGAGCAUUGGCAAAUGGUGAAGGAGUUAGAGAGGCAAAGGAGGGAGAGACUCAAGUGAAAUAUGCUCUGUUACUGCCUUACUGGAAUUGACCCACUUCAGUUCUUGUAAAAAACUAGUCCAAUGCCGAAAAUUUAAUUCAUGUUUAUUGUGCUCUUUUGAGCGAAG